AGGGAGGGAGGGGCGAAUUGGGUUUGGAUUAAUUCUCGACCAAUUAAAAACUAUGAUUAGUAAUUAACUAAAUCUAAUGCAAGCAAAUUAGUUAAGUUACUAGAUGAAGUGAAUGAAGAGAGAGAGGACAACAGCCAAUACAAACACAAACCAGUUUAUAGUGGUUCGGAGCUAACCCUUGCUCCUACGUUCACUCCCCAAGCUUCACUUGGGAGUUCACUAUAAUCCCUUGGAUUAUAGCCGGUUGUUUUACAAGUUCACAACCUAACUUGUUGUUUUUGCGAGAUCACAACGAACUCGGUCGAUUUUCACAGGCUCACCGACUAGAACCACCCGAUUGUUUUUCCGGGAUCACAAUCGAACCCUUACACCGUUGGUUUUAACUUCGGCUCACCAACAAAACUUACACCCCUUGAUUCAAUCCCCUGAUUGAAUCAAGUAAGAAAACAGUUUGGGAAAAGAUACAAGGAAAGCUUCUUAACAAGCAAAUAUGAAUCAAUAUGAAUAGAGUAAAGUUAGAAGCCCUCAAACAGAUUUUGGAAGAGGAAGAAAAGGGCUUCUCGAACUCUGAGUCUCCUCUUUGAGUGCACUGAAGAUUUGAUGUCAGAGGAAGAGCCUUGAAUGCGAAGGGAAGACUUCUAGGAAUGUAUUGAAUACGUUUCUUCCUUCUUUUUCUUG
rnacentral:lncRNA from 1 species